CAAUUAAACCAUGAUAAAGAUGACCUGUUCAACAAUAAAAAAUAUCAAGCAGAAGUCUAAUGGAAAACCAUAUCAGGCUAACGUCUACGAAGAAUAAGUUUGUUUAUACGAGACUGCUACAAAAUCCGAACACUAGUGAAAACCAAUUUCAUUUGCAAAAUAGACUUUUCAAUUUUGCCUACAGAUCAUUUUGUAAAGAAGAGAACCAGAGAAUUCUGUUUUGGUAAAUAGACGGGGGGUGUAAUUAAAAAAGGGGAGAAAUGCAUCAGUUUUGCUUGGAAGAAAGAGAAAACGUGUAAAAAAAAUAUGAAAAAAUUUUGUUCCACAAAUCAAACAAAUAAUUAAUAUGAAAAGAUUUUGUUCCAUAAAUCAAGCAAAUAAUUAAUAAGUUGAUCAUUAAACCUUAAAUAUAAUUAUAGACGGGGGGUGUAAUUAAAAAAGGGGAGAAAUGCAUCAGUUUUGCUUGGAAGAAAGAGAAAACGUGUAAAAAAAAUAUGAAAAAAUUUUGUUCCACAAAUCAAACAAAUAAUUAAUAUGAAAAGAUUUUGUUCCAUAAAUCAAGCAAAUAAUUAAUAAGUUGAUCAUUAAACCUUAAAUAUAAUUUUGGUACAUAAAUUAAAAAGUGGUAUACUUAAAUAUAAUAAAUACAAACCUUAAACAUGGGUGAUUAUAAUAUUUGCUAUAUGAGAUAUAUAUGUAAAAAUCCCUUUCUUGUUAACUACGAUAUAGCCCAUCAAAUGCCCGCCAGUUGAUGCCAAAUUCUGACCAUAGCAGGCAGCUCAAAUGUCCAACUAAUCCUCUAGCCCAAUAACAAGUCCAUUACACUGACCACUUUUUAGAAUUAGGGUUUGGAAACUAACGUCUUUUUCUUCUUCUUCCUGUUUGGUGAACGGUCACCUACCACCGUCAUCCAUGACAGAAACUUACCACCUCCAAUUUGAGUAAGUUCUUAUCUCUCUCUUACAUUUUCUCUGCACACCACAUGAAACCUGCCGAAUCCAUCCAAGAAACAUUUAACGUCACAAUUUUAGACUUUCUACUUUGACCAAAAUUCAAAAUCAAAAAUCAAAUUCGUUCUUCAAAUCCCGCCGAAAAAUCACCUCUCAAAGCCCCAACCUUUCUCUAUAAACACUUUGUUUGGAUCUUAGCCGAAAUCAGAGGUCCUAGAGCAGGAGAAAGACCACAAAAACUCUAAUUUCUAAGGCUCAAAUACUCUCAGAUACGGUGGAAAAGAAUAAGUUUUUCAGUCGACAUUAAGUAUCAAUACAUUUUCCUGUAUUUUUACGACUGCUUUUCCAAGCACUUGGUUGUUCCUUCACUCUAAAAGACGACCUUCAGAUCUGUUUGUUCAAAUUCGAAUGCCCUCUUGACGUGAGAAUAGAUUCGACGACGACGCCGAGUUCACUGCCCCACAACAGGUAACACCUGGCCUUUUCCCGAUUCUCUUUAGUUUAUAAUACCAUGAUUACUUAGAAAAAAAUCAUGUCUUACGUUCUUUCCUUUAGUUAUGUUAGUAAAAUUUUGACCUCAUAUCCGUAGAAGAUUUUUGUUUUUAUGUUUGUCAUUUGGUUCAACUGUUUGAAAAGAGUACAUUUUAAGUUUAAAAAUUUUAUUACCCCUUAAAAUAUGUCAUGUAUAUUUUCUGGUUCCUUUUGUGUAUUAUGCUUUUUGUGGUUCAGAUUUUAACGGUUAGAAAUAUGAUUUUAGGAUUAAUCACUAUUUUAUUUAUUUAUGUGUUAAACAAAUCGAAACUAUCAUAUUUAUGUUUCUAUUUUCUGUUUUGUUGUAUGCUAAAAGGAAAAUGUUACAUUAAGUUUAUCUCGAAGUUUAGACACCAUGUCUUAAGAAUGAUUGUUAUUAAAUGAGUAAUUUGAUGAGCUUUGGGCAUGUUAAUGUAUUACAAGUUUCUUUAUUCAUCAUAUAAGAGAACAUGUUGAAAAGGUGCUAUUAUAUUAGUCGGUAGAAAGAAAGGUAUUUAAAAUAACAUGUCAAACUCUAAUACUUGGAAUUAGUUCUAGGCCAAUCUUGGAAUCCAUGAGUUACCCUUUGUAUGUUGUUACAUGAAUUGGUUUGAACUUUUGGAAAUGAAUUGCAUGUUUCCGUACGGAUUUGAGCAGAUUUAACCUUAAGGUUUUCACUUGACUAACUAAUGUUGAAAUAAUUCUCUAUAAGAAAAGGUGAUGUCUUCCUGUUUUGCUCUCGUUUUGUCACUUAGAAAACGUGUUUGUAGGAUUUUAGUUCAUUUAUUAAAAAGAGAAUGCUCUUUGCUUAUUAGAAAGAUUAUUUUUUGGGAGGUUAGAAAGAAAAUAUUUAUGCUGGAACACAACUGAAUUGAGAAAUCAAUGGAUGCCUUAUACUUUACGUGUUUUUAUUACUAACCUCGUAUUUGUAUUUGUUUAUUUGCCAUGUGUGCGAAUUUAUGUUAAUGGUGCAUUCUUGGGUUGCUUGGAGAUCAUCUAUUUCCCCAACAAAAAAGGAUAUUUAAGAUAUUAUUUAGAGGGCUUACAAUCUAACUUUCUUUUUAAAUUAGUCUCUCUUUUUUACUGUACUUUUGAUUUGUUUAAGUUUCUACAAAUAUAUUUUAUUUUCUAUGACAUGCCAAUGUGAAGUCAAAGGAGUUUCUAAAUCACGUUCUUUUGAGUCUUGCCCAUUUGGAACGAAAUACAUUUUCAGAUAAACUAUACAAGUCCAAAUCUGUUUUCUUUAACAUACAAACACAAAACUUUUCAACACGACUUUUAAUUUGAUUCUCCUACAUUUACACUUAGUUUAGUAAUGCGUAAGUUCGGUCGGUUAACCAUUUUAAUAUAGAUUUUAAAGGGUGUCUUAAAAACCUUUCAUUUAGAUUAAUUAAAUUCUUACUUAGAAUUUUUAGGCCAAGUAAACCAUUAACAGAGUUGUACUUUAUUAAAUUGUUUCAAUCAAUUUAGGUAUCCUAAUUCACCUAAGAAAUAAUUAGGUGACGAUCCUUCAACUUUGAUCAAAUUUAAAAUUGCCUAUAUGUGGUACCUUACUUUAAAAACCAGAUUAGGGACCUGAUUCCUUGGUGUUCCCAGAACAAAAGUACAAGUCAACUGUAUAGCUGGAAGAAAGUAUUGGCUGCGACUGUGUACACUACAGUGCAGUAGUCACUUCCUUACCAACAAAGAAUAGACAUCAUCCUUGGGAUGUCUUUGAUAGUAUAAUAACAUUGUGCAAGAUAUACAAUAUUCACUUGUGCAUUUAGUGAUAUUCUCUCAAGCAUUGAAGAUCUUAUCCAACAUUGAAGUCACAAGUGUGUCAAGAAUAAGAAAACUCCACUGCGAACCAGUUUCACUAGGAGUCAAUGUAUGUCCUUAGUUGAGUUGUAAUCUUGUAUUUUCUUCUUCAUUAUAACUCCUAUCUUGCUUUAAUAAAAGCUUCAUUUUAGGAAACUAAAAUCAUAAACCAUCUGAGUUUAUGUGGUGUCUAGAUUUAGUCAUAGGUUGAAGUCUUUGUAACUAGUGAGUUAAAAAAGUGGCUUGUGAUAAGUGUAUUAAAAGUUAGAGAGAUUGAAGCCUUUGUAAUAGAAUCAUUGUCACACCUCCUUUUUACGCGGCUACCCCGAAGGAUAAAACGUAUAAGGGAGUUUUUUCAAUUAAAGUGACAUUAUUCGUAUGAUUAUUUAUUUAUUUCAGAGUCGCCACUUGGGAUAGGUUUUACUUUUAGUGUCCCAAGUCACCGGUUUAUUUUAAAUCCCAAAUCGAGGAAAAUUAGACUUUCUCUUUUGAUGUCUGCGAACCAGAAAUUCUAGAUAAGGAAUUCGGUUAACCCGAGGGAAGGUGUUAGGCACCCUGGGAUUCCGUGGUUCUAGCAUGGUCGCUUAAACUAUUACAAUUGGCUUAUUAUCUGAUUAUACAACAUCUUUAGCCUAUGGUAUAUUUUUAACUUAUUAGCCGCUUUUAAUUUAUUUUAGGAAUAUUGCAACGUUAUUAAAACAUGUCUUGAACCACGUCACAUAAAUGCACUCGUAGUUUUCGACAUAUUUUAACAUUGUUGAGAUUUGGACUUGGGUCACAUAAAUACGCACCCGAAUUUAGAAAAAUAAAUUAUUAAAAUAACGCGCCUAAAGCAACUACGCGUUAUGAGUAUUGACUUUACAUUACUUAUAUACACACAUAUCAAGAACAAAAGAAUUUCACGAAAAUCUUAAAAUGUUUCAAGCAACAAAUGGUCUACUAACAUGCCAUAAUAUACUUCUCCUCCAUAAAAGAAGGAAGAGUGCAACUAAUCGUUUCAUGGUUACGACUUAGUUAUUAUUCAAUAGCAAAUGUCAUUGUUUGAAUUUAAAUAGAAAUGAAAAUCAAUGGCACUUGUCCAGCUAUCAAAUUUCAGAGAAAACAAACAAUAAAAAUGCAACUCGAAACAUAACGGAGAAAUUUACUUAAACUUUCGUGCAAAAAGAAGGGGACAAUUUACUUGUUUGCAAUACCAAAUCAUUACUGCAAUGUCCAGUAAACUCACGAAUUAACAUGAGUUCUAAUAAAUUAAACUAGAAGUCAACUUCAAUGUCUAUCGACCUGCGACCUUUAAUUAAGAAACAGACGCAAAAUAUUGAACUACUAAACUAAAAUGAAAUAGCUAAACAUCUAAUUAGAAGCAAACGACUAUAGUAUUCAACUAAAUAAUUGUAAAAGAAAGAUCGAGAGUGAACUAUUAAACUAACUCGAUGGCUAAACAUGCUAGGUCUAGAAAAUCAUACUCAAACAUAUGAUGAACAAUUAAUAUAUUUUCAUUUAUGAAUUAAAAAAAAUUAAAAUAAAGCUCAUGGGUGAGUGUAACAUACCUAAUAGCUAAAAAAUUACAAGAUACAGCCCAGAUGGAGGCUGAGAUCAAAUAUGGAACUCAGCAGCGUAGGAAAAGCAACUUGACUUCAAUUUGGGAUUAAAGAACCAACUUGAAAUCCAGUGAACCCUUUUUGUUUAUUUUUGUUUUGCGAUUUUGAUUGGUUGUAGAUCUGAAGUUCACAAAAAAAAAUCAUAACUUGAUUUCAUCUUUUAGGGUGAUAUCCGUGAGAGAAAAAUGAGAAUAGAAGGAUGAGAGAAGAGGCUUUUUUUUUUUUUUUAAAGAUAGGGUGACUGCUCGUCCCCCUUUUUAUUGUUGGAGAUGAAGGCCUCCUUUUUGUGUCUGUGGGUUUUAGAAAAAUGAAGGAGGAGAAUCGAAGGGAAGGAUUGCAGUCCCUCCUUUUUUGGUAGAGGGGUCUGUGUGAUAAGAUGAGGAGGAGAAAAUCAUGAAUAGGGAAAAGCUGCGCAGCUCUUUUUGUAUUAGAGUAUAG
rnacentral:lncRNA from 1 species